GGGCAUGUAGCGCAGUUGGUAGCGCGCUCGCUUAGCAUGCGAGAGGUCUUGGGUUCAAUUCCCAACCUGUCCA
rnacentral:tRNA from 1 species